GUUGGGAACCCUUAUAAAUAUAUGGGAUAUUUUCUCAUAAUGAUAUGAAUAAGAAAUAUAGGAAAAAUGUUGAGAAAUUCGUGACAUUCGUAUGUCAUCUGGUGAGAGAUAAAAUCCACAUCCUUUAUUAAGCUAUUACUUCUAAAGGGCCUUGAAUGGUAAAAUGUAGAUCUAACUCAUUCGCAGCUCGAUCUACCACAAGUUUGGAACGUUUAGAAGACCUUUGUAGAUGAUCUGAGGACAUACGUAUCAACCUUUACCAUCCGGAGUAGAUCACAUUCAAAGACAAACUAGCGCAAAUUGCUUCCGAAAAAAAGGUACUAUCGU
rnacentral:lncRNA from 1 species